rnacentral:rRNA from 1 species
AUUGAACGCUGGCGGCAGGCCUAACACAUGCAAGUCGGACGGUAGCACAGAGGAGCUUGCUCCUCGGGUGACGAGUGGCGGACGGGUGAGUAAUGUCUGGGGAUCUGCCCGAUAGAGGGGGAUAACCACUGGAAACGGUGGCUAAUACCGCAUAACGUCGCAAGACCAAAGAGGGGGACCUUCGGGCCUCUCGCUAUCGGAUGAACCCAGAUGGGAUUAGCUAGUAGGCGGGGUAACGGCCCACCUAGGCGACGAGCCCUAGCUGGUCUGAUAGGAUGACCAGCCACACUGGAACUGGGACACGGUCCAGACUCCUACGGGAGGCAGCAGUGGGGAAUAUUGCACAAUGGGCGCAAGCCUGAUGCAGCCAUGCCGCGUGUAUGAAGAAGGCCUUCGGGUUGUAAAGUACUUUCAGCGGGGAGGAAGGCGAUGUGGUUAAUAACCGCGUCGAUUGACGUUACCCGCAGAAGAAGCACCGGCUAACUCCGUGCCAGCAGCCGCCGUAA